rnacentral:snRNA from 1 species
AUUCCUUUGGUGGCACAUAUUUAUUAACCUGGUAUAAUAAAGAGAUCAUCAGCAUGUCCUCUCCCUAGGAAUGGCACACACAAAUUCCUACAGGACUCCAUUUUAU